rnacentral:rRNA from 1 species
AGUGAACGCUGGCGGUAGGCCUAACACAUGCAAGUCGAACGGCAGCCCAGUAAGAGCUUGCUCUUACGGGUGGCGAGUGGCGGACGGGUGAGGAAUACAUCGGAAUCUACUUUUUCGUGGGGGAUAACGUAGGGAAACUUACGCUAAUACCGCAUACGACCUACGGGUGAAAGCAGGGGAUCUUCGGACCUUGCGCGAUUGAAUGAGCCGAUGUCGGAUUAGCUAGUUGGCGGGGUAAAGGCCCACCAAGGCGACGAUCCGUAGCUGGUCUGAGAGGAUGAUCAGCCACACUGGAACUGAGACACGGUCCAGACUCCUACGGGAGGCAGCAGUGGGGAAUAUUGGACAAUGGGCGCAAGCCUGAUCCAGCCAUACCGCGUGGGUGAAGAAGGCCUUCGGGUUGUAAAGCCCUUUUGUUGGGAAAGAAAAGCAGCAGGUUAAUACCCCGCUGUUCUGACGGUACCCAAAGAAUAAGCACCGGCUAACUUCGUG